AUGAGAAGAAGGUCACCGUGGUUGCUCUGAGCAGGGGCAUCAGCCUCCUUUGCACCUCGGCAUCUCCUGUGCUUGUGUGCCCACCUGGGCCACCCUCUCUGCAGGGCUGAGCUGUGAUCACCAGGGCCCUGCCAGCGCAGCUGUGGCAGAGCUCCACCGAAGCCCUGGUGAUGGCAGAGGAGAGCCCUGCUCCCGGAGUGGCGGGAUGACACGGAGCAGCUUCACAGGGCAGGAGGGGCUGGAAGUGUGGGCUGAAACGGCAGGGCAGUGGGGUUUGAAGAGAGACUGGCUCUGGAGUUCCUAGUCCAGCGGCACUCCGCAGGGCGCUGGGCUGGGGCUGUGAUGGCAAGAUGAGAUGAGCUGCACUUCACACAGGGCAGGAGUGCAGGAGCACUGCCGCAGCCAGAGGAACUUUGGUGUCUUUUUUUGGAAUGCUUUUGAUAGUCGAGGUGGCAUCUGACCUUCAUCUGGGAUCUGAUGGCUCAGGGAACUCCAGCUAUAAUAUCGGCCAUCAGUCGCUACUCUCGUAUACAGAACUAGUGCCAGGCUCAGAAAAACCUCAGAGAAAGCUGACUGCUCCUGAGAAGCAAUUCCCCUUGUUGCAUUUGCUAAAACUCCUGGGCCCCUGAGGUAUACAAGGGAGUGUCUGAGUUCAGAUCUUCCAGGCCUUGUCCUCCAGCAGGAGCACCAGGGAAGUCCUGUAAGAUCCCCGCAUGCUUCAACGCUGAAAUCAGUGAAUUGCCUGCUGUUCCACACCACUGGCAAGGACAGAACCUCUUCCCACUGCUCUGACAUGGCAUCAAUCAGAGCAUCAGACAGCAGCGGGGCAGCAGCUCUGUGGGAUGGAGGUUUGGGACCCUGGAGCUGGCGGAGAUGCCAACAGCACUCCCAGAUGUUCCUGAGCCCUGCUGUGACCUCUCUCAUGUGACACGGGCAUGGCUUAAGGGCUCUGUAGGUUUAGGACUUGGACAGAUGAUGCCAGGAGGAACAGUUUAUUAUCUGGGGACCGUGGCUGCGGGUGGGUAUUCUCUGUGGCUGAAACCGAGUUUGGAAAGGAACCAGGUUGAUUUGGUGAGUUUGGCUGAGACCUCUGUCAACAAAAUUAAAAGGGGGAGUCUGGGAGACACAUGGCUUGCUCACAAACACACCACUGUGGAGGCAGCAGCUUUGCAGUGUUGUAUGUUCACCUGUCUCAAACACAAAAAAAAAAGAUUAAGCCAGUUUGUUUCUGAGAACAGGAGGAGAUCAGGAGAGCAAAGGACCAGAGGAAAGCAAAUGCUGUGCUGACUGGCAAAGAGACUGCUCUCUUUGUGUUCUUUGUGCUUGACUGAAACAUCUUCACAGGAUUUUUUUCCCUCUAAUCUGGAAAUAAUUCUGAUUUAUUUUAAGCCUUCUGUUAAGAGUCACGCAGCAGCGGCUGGCUGGCGGCUGCGUGCGCGCGGACGCCUCAGUGUGCUUCCAAGGGGCUGCUGCCUUCUUCAGUUGACACUGCAGUCAAUUAUUGUGUUUUUCAAUUAUAUAUAAAAGGCAAUGAUGGAGAUUUCCAGCUUUUAUAGCACCACAAAUCACAUAGUCCUUCACUGUACACACGGCAUGGCUGCCACAGCAUGGGAGAUCACGGCCUCGCCAUGCAGGCUUGCAGAGGGAGCAGUGCCACCAAGGACCCCCCAAAACUGCAAAAGGAACACCAUGGGCAGGGCAGACCUUCACGGGCAGCUCUGCAGGGUCCUUCAGCCACCAGCCCCUGGCUGACAGGCAGGGACGGGCAGUGUGGUCCCUGGGAUUGAGGAAGGGCAGGAAGAUCUAUUUUCCACUUGCUUCACAUGGUCAGCAGCAUGUCUGUGAAGGAGCUGUGCAGCUUAUGUGGGCAAGGAAGGGUUAAGGUUAGGACAUCAUUGGUGAGCAGGGUCAUGGCACAGAGUGACACCGGCUGCAUCAUUUCUGUGGGUGCUCAGUCACACAGCCAGCCCAAAGGUGCUGGGGAGAUCUGAAGCGACAGGCUGGGAAACUGCUGGGAACUGGGAUCUUUUUCACGGAAUGAUCAUUUCAUUGCACAUAAUAUCAUAACAUAAUUAUACUUGCAAAUUUAGCCCUUGAAAAAAGGGGCUUGGGCUGGUGGAUCUGGAGUGUUUGUCUUUGAAACCAAGCAAUAUAAGGAAAAAAACAAGUCUGUAACAGAGCAUGAACAGUCCUCCUCAGCAGCCAGAAAAUGCCACUUCCCAUCUAAGGAUCUGAAAAAGAUUCAACAUUGGCAGGCUUGGUCCUGACUUUGGGAUUUGGGUACCUUUAUCCACCUUUAAAUGUCCCAAAAUGGUCUGGUGCAAGGACAGCACUAGCACUUGUCAGCUUCUCCAGUUUCCUUUAGCAGAAGAGAUAUUAGCCAAGCCACUUUUAUUCUGUUCUGCUGGCAGGGAAGGGGGUGUCUGAAUGCAUCACAGGCUGUGUUUCACCUGUGGCAGAUUGGUGGUAACCCAGCAGUCAGGUCCAGGAGAGUGAGGCUGUGAGAGGCUGAGUGAGCAGGAGCAGAAAUCAAAUCAUUGCCACAAAGAGUGAACAAGAACACUUGAAUUCUGGGACUCCAGUGAGAAAGCAAGUGAGAAAAAUGAACAGAAGCUGUCAGCUAAACUGGAUAUAUUGACUGCAGUACAAACUGGAGGAGGAGAAGUGAUCCUGGUGACUGGGACGGAGAUUUUUGGAAUGGUUCUGUUUCACCCAGAACACACCCUGGACCCUUGUGCUCCUUCGCAGGGUAAGGAUACAAGCAAGGAGGAUCCUCCCAUGGUAAAGAAAGCUGUAAGUUCAGGGAGACAGAGACCAGUGGGACAGAGAGAUAGAGACUCAGUUAACUGGAGCUGGUUACCAGUGAAGACUGGUUUUGAGCCUAAACUGAAAAAAGAAAAAAAGAAAAAAAAAAAAAAAAAAAAAAAAAAAAAAAAAAAAAAAAAAAAAACCAACAACAACAAA